rnacentral:rRNA from 1 species
UACGUAGGGUGCAAGCGUUAAUCGGAAUACUGGGCGUAAAGCGUGCGCAGGCGGUGAUGUAAGACAGUUGUGAAAUCCCCGGGCUCAACCUGGGAACUGCAUCUGUGACUGCAUCGCUGGAGUGCGGCAGAGGGGGAUGGAAUUCCGCGUGUAGCAGUGAAAUGCGUAGAUAUGCGGAGGAACACCGAUGGCGAAGGCAAUCCCCUGGGCCUGCACUGACGCUCAUGCACUAAAGCGUGGGGAGCAAACAGG